rnacentral:rRNA from 1 species
GAUGGACGCUGGCGGCGUGCCUAAUACAUGCAAGUCGAGCGAACAGACGAGGAGCUUGCUCCUCUGACGUUAGCGGCGGACGGGUGAGUAACACGUGGAUAACCUACCUAUAAGACUGGGAUAACUUCGGGAAACCGGAGCUAAUACCGGAUAAUAUAUUGAACCGCAUGGUUCAAUAGUGAAAGACGGUUUUGCUGUCACUUAUAGAUGUAUCCGCGCCGCAUUAGCUAGUUGGUAAGGUAACGGCGUACCAAGGCAACGAUGCGUAGCCGACCUGAGAGGGUGAUCGGCCACACUGGAACGGAGACACGGUCCAGACUCCUACGGGAGGCAGCAGUAGGGAAUCUUCCGCAAUGGGCGAAAGCCUGACGGAGCAACGCCGCGUGAGUGAUGAAGGUCUUCGGAUCGUAAAACUCUGUUAUUAGGGAAGAACAAAUGUGUAAGUAACUAUGCACGUCUUGACGGUACCUAAUCAGAAAGCCACGGCUAACUACGUG